rnacentral:rRNA from 1 species
CAGAGGGUGCAAGCGUUGUUCGGAAUUAUUGGGCGUAAAGCGCGUGUAGGCGGCUUUGCAGGUCGGGUGUGAAAGCCCUCAGCUUAACUGAGGAAGUGCGCCCGAAACUGCUUAGCUUGAGUACCGGAGAGGAUGGCGGAAUUCCCGAAGUAGAGGUGAAAUUCGUAGAUAUCGGGAGGAACACCGGUGGCGAAGGCGGCCAUCUGGACGGAUACUGACGCUGAGACGCGAAAGCGUGGGUAGCAAACAGGAUUAGAUACCCUGGUAGUCCACGCCGUAAACGAUGAGAACUAGGUGUUGUGGGUGUUGACCCCCGCGGUGCCGUAGCUAACGCAUUAAGUUCUCCGCCUGGGAAGUACGGCCGCAAGGCUA